AAUCAUUGCUGCUCGCUCUUGGCGGAUCGCCGAGAGCCGAGAAAAGGUGAAGAUCAUGACCCGAUCUGCCGAGGCAGGAGGGAAUGAUCCGUUAUCCGUUAUUUGAGUAAACCGCAAUACAGAUGGGCUCACUGCCAGGGAUUGCCGCCAACAGGCCGAACUCCGGGGCGCGAUCCAACGAACAGAAGAGAUUGUAUCAGAUGCCCUAUGGCGUUUUGACCGCUGUUGUAAUCGGGGCACUUGCCUGGAGUGCAGGCGCUGUCCGGGCAGGAACAUGUGCAAAUGACAUCGCCCAGGUGGAAGCCGCGCGACGCCUUGACGGCGGCGAGCCCGGGCCGAGGCGCAGCACAUCAGUCGACCGACGCGCAACUGCACCGCCAGCCUACUCGAAGCUCG
rnacentral:misc_RNA from 1 species